GAUGAACGCUGGCGGCGUGCCUAAUACAUGCAAGUCGAGCGAAUGGAUUAAGAGCUUGCUCUUAUGAAGUUAGCGGCGGACGGGUGAGUAACACGUGGGUAACCUGCCCAUAAGACUGGGAUAACUCCGGGAAACCGGGGCUAAUACCGGAUAACAUUUUGAACUGCAUGGUUCGAAAUUGAAAGGCGGCUUCGGCUGUCACUUAUGGAUGGACCCGCGUCGCAUUAGCUGGUUGGUGAGGUAACGGCUCACCAAGGCAACGAUGCGUAGCCGACCUGAGAGGGUGAUCGGCCACACUGGGACUGAGACACGGCCCAGACUCCUACGGGAGGCAGCAGUAGGGAAUCUUCCGCAAUGGACGAAAGUCUGACGGAGCAACGCCGCGUGAGUGAUGAAGGCUUUCGGGUCGUAAAACUCUGUUGUUAGGGAAGAACAAGUGCUAGUUGAAUAAGCUGGCACCUUGACGGUACCUAACCAGAAAGCCACGGCUAACUACGUGCCAGCCGCCGCCGUAA
rnacentral:rRNA from 1 species